UACGUAGGGUGCAAGCGUUAAUCGGAAUUACUGGGCGUAAAGCGUGCGCAGGUGGUUACGCAAGUCUGCUGUGAAAUCCCCGGGCUCAACCUGGGAACUGCAUUGGAGACUGCGUGGCUAGAGUGUGGCAGAGGGGGGUGGAAUUCCGCGUGUAGCAGUGAAAUGCGUAGAGAUGCGGAGGAACACCAAUGGCGAAGGCAGCCCCCUGGGUUAACACUGACACUCAUGCACGAAAGCGUGGGGAGCAAACAGG
rnacentral:rRNA from 1 species